CGAUGAAGAGCGCAGCCAACUGUGUGAAUUAAUGUGAACUGCAUACUGCUUUGAACAUCGACAACUUGAACGC
rnacentral:rRNA from 1 species